rnacentral:rRNA from 1 species
AUUAAUACCGCAUACGCCCUGAGGGGGAAAGUGGGGGACCGUAAGGCCUCCCGUUAUACGAGCAGCCGAUGUCUGAUUAGCUAGUUGGUGGGGUAAAGGCUCACCAAGGCAACGAUCAGUAGCGGGUCUGAGAGGAUGAUCCGCCACACUGGGACUGAGACACGGCCCAGACUCCUACGGGAGGCAGCAGUGGGGAAUUUUGGACAAUGGGCGCAAGCCUAAUCCGGCCAUGCCGCGCGUCUGAAGAAGGCCUUCGGGUUGUAAAGGACUUUUGUUCGGGAGGAAAUCCCGCUGGUUAAUACCUGGCGGGGAUGACAGUACCGGAAGAAUAAGCACCGGCUAACUACGUGCCAGCAGCCGCGGUAAUACGUAGGGUGCAAGCGUUAAUCGGAAUUACUGGGCGUAAAGCGUGCGCAGGCGGUUGUGCAAGUCUGAUGUGAAAGCCCCGGGCUUAACCUGGGAACGGCAUUGGAGACUGCACGACUAGAGUGCGUCAGAGGGGGGUAGAAUUCCACGUGUAGCAGUGAAAUG